rnacentral:rRNA from 1 species
AGAGAUCAUGGCUCAGGAUGAACGCUAGCGGCAGGCUUAAUACAUGCAAGUCGAGGGGGAUUAGUUGGGUAGCAAUACUCGACUAUGAGACCGGCAAACGGGUGCGGAACACGUACGCAACCUUCCCAAAACUGGUGAAUAGCCCUCCGAAAGGAGGAUUAAUACACCGUAACAUAAUGAAAUGGCAUCAUUUUAUUAUUAUAGCUCCGGCGGUUUUGGAUGGGCGUGCGCCUGAUUAGGUAGUUGGCGGGGUAACGGCCCACCAAGCCUGCGAUCAGUAACUGGUGUGAGAGCACGACCAGUCACACGGGCACUGAGACACGGGCCCGACUCCUACGGGAGGCAGCAGUAAGGAAUAUUGGUCAAUGGACGCAAGUCUGAACCAGCCAUGCCGCGUGAAGGAUGACGGCCCUCUGGGUUGUAAACUUCUUUUAUCUGGGACGAAAAAAGAUCAUUCUUGAUCACUUGACGGUACCAGAGGAAUAAGCACCGGCUAACUCCGUGCCAGCAGCCGCGGUAAUACGGAGGGUGCAAGCGUUAUCCGGAUUUACUGGGUUUAAAGGGUGCGUAGGUGGGUCUGUAAGUCAGUGGUGAAAUCUCCGAGCUUAACUCGGAAACUGCCAUUGAUACUAUAGGUCUUGAAUUAUCUGGAGGUAAGCGGAAUAUGUCAUGUAGCGGUGAAAUGCUUAGAUAUGACAUAGAACACCAAUUGCGAAGGCAGCUUACUACGGAUCGAUUGACACUGAGGCGCGAAAGCGUGGGGAUCAAACAGGAUUAGAUACCCUGGUAGUCCACGCCCUAAACGAUGGAUACUCGACAUUUGCGAUAUACUGUAAGUGUCUGAGCGAAAGCAUUAAGUAUCCCACCUGGGAAGUACCAUCGCAAGAUUGAAACUCAAAGGAAUUGA